GUAACUAGAUUAUGACAUGUAGUGAUACUUAACGUACCGUGGAUUGCCAAAUAUUUCUUUGUUUCAUCGCACGCAAAAAAUUUUAUGCCUCGCACCCAUCGUACUGUACGUAUAUGUGUGUAUUAUUGCAAUGAUAAUAGGACUUCAAUACGUUAUUUUAAGUUUCUUUUUUAAAAAUUUUACAGAGCUAUAUUAUGUAUUGUAAAAAUUUUUUUAAAGUAGCUCAAUGUCAUUUUCGCAAACCCUUUACCCAAUUACGUAUUAUACAAUUCCCAUAUCUUCCCAGAUUUAUUUGGAUAGGCUGCGUGUGUUUUUACCAUAAAGAUAGAGCACCUCGUGUGGAGUUAAGAUCAAUUAAA